UACGGAGGGGACUAGCGUUGUUCGGAAUUACUGGGCGUAAAGCGCACGUAGGCGGAUUUGUAAGUCAGGGGUGAAAUCCCGGGGCUCAACCUCGGAACUGCCUUUGAUACUGCAAAUCUCGAGUCCGGAAGAGGUGAGUGGAAUUCCUAGUGUAGAGGUGAAAUUCGUAGAUAUUCGCAAGAACACCAGUGGCGAAGGCGGCUCACUGGCCCGAUACUGACGCUGGGGCACGAAAGCGUGGGGAGCAAACAGG
rnacentral:rRNA from 1 species